CUGUAACCAUCUGAAAGUUACAACUACAAAUGUGAAAAUGAAGCCAAAUCCAGAUAUUCAUUUAGCAUGAAUCCCUUUUCAAUUCCUGCUAAUUGGCAAUUGUAGGUGGUCUUGGUAGAGAGACUAGCAGUUGAACAGGAAAGAAAUCACCAUUCUCAAAGUGAACCUGCUGGUUCCCGUGCAGUGUCACGGUAACAGGACAGGACUAGGUGGUUCAGCUAAUUUCCUGAAUAUACUGCUGCUGAGGAACAGAGGGGAUUUGAACUUUGCUAUUGGGAUACUGUCUGUCACCAGCACCAAGUUUAAUUCCAAGAAACCGAAGGAAACUAUGUCAGGCCCGUCUUGAACCAUCUUUCUGAUUCACAGCCAAUUCACAAUGUUCCAUGAAGGGUUUGCAAUAAAGAGUAAUAUGUUGGGGAAAUUAAAUCAUGAAUUGGAGCUGUUAAUUACACACACAUUGGUUUAAAGCUGAAGCAAAUACUUCUAUCUGCCCUUUGUUGCACAUUUUGCAUGCCUGCCUGUUCCUCUACUGCUGCUGCUCGGUCUGUUUCUCUCUAAUCUACGCCUCAAACACUUCCCCUACCCAAUUCCAGGAGCUAACACAAAUGUAAAAUGUAAAUUGUGGCCUAGAUUGCUGCUACCGGAGUGUGGAGAGAGAUGCCAGAUUCUGUAAUAGCCUAGAUGUGUCGGGGAUCAACUUCCAGGUCCUUGCAUAUUGACAAACUCUUCUUGUAUCCAUCACUUGGGUUUCCUAUCGAGUUGUCUUCUUGGGCCAAUUAUGUACAUUUCCCAUGUGUUUUUCUUGGCAUACAGAGAACUCUAUAUUUGAGACCGUGAAGCCAACUUACUUCACAUUGAAACUUCCUUCUCUUUCACUUCCCUAUGAUAAAGCCUGAAGGAUAAUUCUGCCAAUAUUUUCUUCCAGCAAUAAUCAACUAUCUUACUAUCUGUAGUAAGUAGCUACUACAAAAUGUUAUGGCACAAUUGACAAUGACAUUAUACUACACAAACUUUCACCUCUGUCCUCAAGACAUUUUUACCAAAGAAGGGUUUUGAUUAUUCUGAACUCUAAGACUACUUCAAGACAAAAAGGAGGGAAGAACAUGUGCCAAGACACAGAUGUGCAGACCCAGUGCUGCCGGGAGGAUGGGGACAAGGAAGACAUCAAUGUGGUGAAUGAUGACUCAGGUUAGGGAUGGCAGGAGAGGAACUGAAAAGAAAGAUUGUGUUCUAACGAUGCAGUAAAGAAUCUGGAUCUCACCCAGUAAGCAGCAGAAAAGGCUCAAAGGACAUUUUUUCUCCAGAGACAUUAUCCAUUGGUUUUUUUAGGGAAAACAAAAUAACACCUGGUCAUGCUAUAGAGCAUUAACUGGGGAAGAGAGAAUGAGUGAGAGAAACACUGUUGCAACUAUCAGAGCAAGAGAUGAUGGGACCUAGUUUAGGGCAGUGAGAGUGUGUGCGUGGAGUGGAGGGGGCUCAUUUUGGAAAUCUUUCUGAGGCAUAGGCAAUGGUACUUAGUGUUCCACUGAUACUAUGGGUAAAGGAUGAGGGGUCAAAGUGGAGAGUGACUUCCUUAACCAAAGGAGGACAAGAAAAAGAAGCGAUGUUGCCGAAUGACAUUUACAAAAGUGUAUUUUCUAGUUGCAAGGAGUCUGAGAUACCUACGGAUUCUCCAAACAGGAUACCUAUAGACAGCUGAAAAUACAAGACUGGUUUUACACAGCAAUGUCAGAGCUGAAGAGACAGGUGAUAAUCACAGGCAUGAAUGUAUUGAAGUUACUGAGGGACUACAAAGUGAACAUAACUGGGAACAGCACCAUCAAAACGAUCAGCAUUUAAAGAGCAGGGAGUGGGAAGAGCCAAUGAUUGAAGCUGAGACUAAACUAACUGAAGAGAAAAUCAAGGCACAAUUCUUGCUAUAAUAUCCGAAGAGGGAACUUGCGGCAGACGGACUGGAGGGAUUUGCAUUCCUGUUUGGAGUCAGGAUUUCCAUGGUCUACACCUCAUGUGUUGCAUGUAGACGUUCAAGGUAUUUUUAUUGUGAUAUGUCAGCACACAGAAUUGGAAGGCAUGUCACAAGGUCAGGAGUUCGAGUUCUGUUGAUAGUCUCAGACCUCUUCCAACUUCAACAAGGUCAACAAGAUAAACCACAAACCUGGAUGAGUUCAUGUUAUUCCAGAUGCAUUAUCUCCUAAUCUUCAGGAAGAGGCUCCUUCAGCGGGAAGGAGCAUGGCAGGAUCUUCCCUGAAAAAACAGAAAUAGCCGUGUCUAAUCCCUGCUCUGCCUGGAAAGGAAAAGGCUCACCUACUUCCCAUGUCAAGGCAAGAAUCAGAAUUCCUCUCAAAUUCUUAAAACAUUGCAAAGUAAAGACAGAUACUAACUCUAAAUAUGAUUCAUGCUCAAGUUAUUAAAAAUGGAAUACAUUGUACCAGAAGGAAAAUGGUAAACAAUUUUAAAUUCCAAAGGCAAGGGAAUGUUUUUGGUUUAAUAACCAGAGUAUGGCUUCAACAGGAGCUUAUGUAGUAUACACACCAUAAUUAAAUCUAAUUCAAUCACCUGAGUAAUCAAGUGGUUAAGCGAAUAAACUAAGUAAUCAAUCGUAAAAGUGAUUUGCUGUUUAGAAGAAAGAAGUUGUAAUAUGUGUGCCAAUAUUUUUAAAGAAUAAGGAAUCUCAGGUCUUCAACUCUGUCAACAAUUAUUAGCAUUGUUUUGUUUCAGUCUUCUUAUUUACAGAGUAAAAAGACCAUUCAUUCAUUCAACAAGUAUUUAUGGAAAGCAGCAUUUUCUGAACAUGAUUCCUGCACUCAAGGUGUUUUACAAUCAUGUGGCCUGCCACUUUAUUGAAGAUGUUUUAGGGAAAACAAUUAACUUUUGACAAAGUUCAGAAUUAUUCAAACAUAACAUAAAUGGCCAAUGAAUCUUUUCAGAGAAAGCAUAGUCUAGUGGAUAAAUAUUUACACUAGUCUGCCCCUGAGUCUUACAAUUUUUCUAUGUCCAUUUUUCCUCACUCUGUAAUGGUGGGCAGACAGAAGGUGGGGCUAGCUGACCUUCAAAUUCCCUUCCAAUUUUUAUGAAAUACAAUUUUUAGUAUUAAGUGAGUAAUCACAUUGUGCAAGGUGCUUACCUGGAUAUAGCUCAGUUCUUUUUCUGAUUGCAAGAACAGAGCAAGAUGGAACCAUGAACUGCUAAACGACCCAUGGCAAUUUUUAAAGGAUUCCUCAAGCAGAUGGUUCUCUGGUAGUUCUUACAGCAGGAAAAGCCCCCUACAGUUCACAAAAGAGUCAAGUUGCAUUCUUCCAAACUGUCCUGAUUUUGCCGAUUUGCACAAUCUAAUAAAAUCUUUCCAUCAUAUUUCUCUUUUCCAUUUGUGGACCACUACUCAGUGAGUACAUUUAUUAUGUGUGGCUAAUAAUUUACUUUUUUGUUCUUUUUUGUUGUAAAAGCGUCAUAUUAACUACCUUUUGAGCGCAUGAAAAUGCAUAUUCGAAACAUUGCUGAGUUCAGAUUGAUUGAAUUUGACUGUGACCUUAGUGAGCCAUUCAUUUAUUCAACAAGGUUUGAUUGAACAUUUACCAUCCUAUCACUUCAGCCCACACAUUGGACAACCAAUCAGAGUUAUCACACUUCUUAGGGCAUAAAACAGAUACAUAUUCAUUAAGUUACAUAUUCCCAGUCCAAAUUAGCUUGACCCAAUUCAAGUCUUCCUUCAGAUUUUUAGAGUUCUUGCCAAAUCGUUUUCCUAUUCCCAUUUUCUCUUCACUUCCCAUUGCCCUCUUGUCCUCAAUUUCUUUUGUGUUCAUUCUCUCUCUUCUUCUUGUUUUCAGUUUCUGUCUUCUCUUUCACAAAGUUUUCUCACUUAGCUAUAAUGUAUGUUUAAUAAUACACUAUUUCAUUAUUGUGUUACUCAAAAUCCUCAAGCCACUUUAUCUCAAGAUGCAAAUACCUAGACCUCAGGUUCAAAGCUAAUAAUCUAA
rnacentral:lncRNA from 10 species